UGGAAGACACAUGGCUGACCCCCUGCCCUUGCUGAUCUCAAACCUGGGGGCUUCCCAUUGCUCCACAGCAUCUUGUCCAGCCUUGACUCUGCACUCAUGUGAUGGGAUCAUGGUGGAAGAAACGUGAAACGAGAGAGGGAACUGGGAAAAGUGUUACAUCUGUACAGGCAGGCUGUAAAUUAGAGGACUGAAAGUCCAGUUUAUUUGGACUUCUGGAAAGUUGGCUUCAUUCAUUUUGCUUUCCCAGAAGUCAUCACUAAUAAUAACCUGAGCGUUGUGGUUAUACACAAAACAAAUCCAAAUGUCAUGCUUCAGAAGGGUCCAGAUAACACUGACCACUUUCCUGUCUAUUAAAUCUAAAAAAAAUACGUGUUCUCAGAAUACAAUGUAGGUUCCUCUUGUUAGAGGCAAAAGUCAAGCCGCAUACUAGGUAUGUCUUAAAUUUUGUGUAUGCAUUAAAUCACUUGGUCUCAUACGGUCUGUAGAAGUGAAAGUGUUUUAAUCCAUCUAUGGACGGGAGUAGGAGGGUUUCUAGAGAACCUAACACAUAGGCCAGGAUGAAGGUAGCUUAGACAUCCUCAUCCCCAGUCCAGGCUACUUGACAUGUGACUUUUCUUUAUCUUUCCUUCCCAUGCCCUGUGCAUUUUCCUUGCUUCUUUCUUCUCUUACGUUCUGAGAGCCAUUUGUUGGGGUUCUUGCCUUCUAGAAGUCAUUCCAUCGUCAGACCCCCCCCACCUAAGUAGUUGCCACUAAGAAGGCAAAGAGUCAGAGGCUGCCACAUGUCCAGGCCGGUGCCUUCAUAAUUGAUGAUAUAAAGCAUUGUGACCACCAUGCUGGUACCAGUGCAUCAGGCAGAGGAGGGAGACAGAGUAUCCAUUUGCUUCUGGCUACAGAGUGCUGGGGCUGACACCAUCGCAGCCCACAGGCUGAUAGAACUCUCAUAUGCGAAGACCUCAAAACCAUUGAUUUACAAACCAACUUGCCUGCCAUUUAUGGUCAUGGAAUUCUGCAGCUGUAAGCACAGAGGUGUAGUGACAUUUCACCCCUGCCUCUCACGGGAGAGCACGCGCAACUUGUUUUUAGAACACUCUACUGCAACGGUGUUAGGAAGGAAAGACCAACAGUGAGCUUUAGACAGUGUCCUGGUCUUCUUGGUUUGUCUUGCCACCUCCUGUAACAUCGGCUCCAGGCAAAGCCACUGCCUCCCCAAAUCUACUACCAUCUUGUUUUAAAAAGUUAAGCAUGUGGAGCAGCAACCGCAGAGCAUAAACCUGGGGUCACUCUGAAUCCUGGCCUCUUUGUGAUGCGCACAUCUCCCGCCUCACCUAAGGUGCUUUGUAGACAGGUACAUGUGGAGUUUACUUACCACUCUCUCUUUCUUCCUGUCUCUUGCUCUUCCUUCCUUCAUUGCUCUCCCUGGGGUUAAAAGCUCAGGUGGUAAAGAAUGAGACGUGCAGAUUUUCUGCCUUAGUCCUCAUUUGUGAAGGAAUCCUGGGAACUUGGGUUUAAAGAUGAUUUAAAGGUUCGCACCAUCGAACUCAUAUGUUACAAGGCGUGGCUUCUGGCACAUUCUGGGAUUUUCUCUUUUUCUUGCUUGUAGUUAUUGAAACUGCAUUUGUGAUGCUUACAUUUAUAUGAAAAUAAAUGGUUGCCCAUGUAGAGAAUCCUUGCUACCUUCAGAUACAUAAGUUUUUUUUUUUCCUUCCAGUACCACCCAGUGAAACUUCCUGCAAACAUGGCUAAUUGUAGCACUCUUUGGUUGAAAAAGUUCAGGAAACCUUCCUAACAGAUGUAUUCAUCUUCUCCACAUCUCUUCCCCCUCCAGCAUCCCUCUCAAGCCAGGCUUUUUAUUCUCCCCUUCAAGCAACCUCCACUUCCAUAGCCAAAUUGAGUAUUUAAUAAGUCAAUAGUGAAUAAGAAUGUGUUCAUGGAAAAAUCAGUGGUUCUUAUUAAAUUCCUGUUAUGUCCUCCAAAACCCAGAGAUCCCACACGUUAUGGCAAAUCAUUACAUAAACUCUCAAAAGGUAUCUUUUGGUCACAUUUCAUAUAUACUAGGUUCUGCCUAGAUCUUUUAUUUGUAUACAUGACUUCUGAGACAUUGGACUUGAGGUUGAAGUUGCAUCUCUGGGGGGUUCUUGGGGGAGCAAGGAGCAGGGGUAAUAAAUUUUUAAUAAAGUUGCUGGCUUAGAGCUUUGACUACCACAUUGUUGGAGAGGAACUGGCGGAGAGGGGAGGCAUUAUGGAGGCACAGGGAGCUCCCAGGAGCAGUGGAUACAUUUGCUACCUUGAUACGUGGCAGUAUGGUCAUUGGGCAUAUACCAAUGUCAAAACUUCUCAAAUUGUGUCCUGGAAAUACUGUAGCUUGUAUGUCAAUUAGACCUCAAGAAAGUCAUUUUUACGAAUUCUAUAUUUUCCAGGUCCAUGCUCAAGAGAUUUCUAGAAUUAAGACAAACCAACAGCCCAUGCUUAUUAAAAAUGCCAGACUUGCACUUGAAAGGCACAGGGAAUUUUACUUGGUUUGCAUCACUCAUAUAAAGCUCUUAUGUGCUGUAUUGAUGAGUAUCAAGUCAACGUAAGGAUUUUUUGAAAAGCCUUUGCUUGACUUUAUUGAAAUAUUCCAGUACUCUCGCAACCAUCCAAGCAAACUCUCCGGUUGCCUUCCAGCCAUUGUGACAAAGCCUCCCCAGUCAUCAGGUCCUCUGACUGGGAGGGCCCAUGUCACAGUCACUUAUAAAGGGAGGAUGGCUGGACUGCUUUGGAGAUGGACUUGGGGUGAGGGAGAGGGAUGAUGGGGGGAGCAGCCAGAGGCUAUCUCAACCAGAACCUCACUGCUGACCAGAGUUGGGGACCGUGAGAAGAUGGCAAAAGCCUAUCAAUGUUGGUGUCCAACAUGUUGCAUGAAGGAUUUUCCACAGAGACACAGGGCAAAGAAAUCACACCAGAAAAGGAACAAAGGCCUAAGUGAGUCACACAUGCUUUGGCUGAAGAAACUGCUUGAUUCCAUGCAGUACGAAGUCACAUUUGUUCCCGUGGUUGACUCAACAGACAGUACCUCCUGCUGCAGGCCCAAGGCCACCAUAAUCAUCAUUGAGCUUGCCUCUCCACCCCAGGAUCUCUAAAUAAAUCAUCUUUCUCUGGAAAAAAAA